GAUGAACGCUGGCGGCGUGCCUAACACAUGCAAGUCGAGCGAUCUUCUUCGGAAGAGAGCGGCGGACGGGUGAGUAACGCGUGGGUAACCUGCCCUGUACACACGGAUAACAUAUCGAAAGGUAUGCUAAUACGGGAUAAAAUAUGAGAGCUGCAUGGCUUUUGUAUCAAAGAUUUAUCGGUACAGGAUGGACCCGCGUCUGAUUAGCUAGUUGGUAAGGUAAUGGCUACCAAGGCGACGAUCAGUAGCCGACCUGAGAGGGUGAUCGGCCACACUGGAACUGAGACACGGUCCAGACUCCUACGGGAGGCAGCAGUGGGGAAUAUUGCACAAUGGGCGAAAGCCUGAUGCAGCAACGCCGCGUGAGCGAUGAAGGCCUUCGGGUCGUAAAGCUCUGUCCUCAAGGAAGAUAAUGACGGUACUUGAGGAGGAAGCCCCGGCUAACUACGUGCCAGCCGCCGCGGUAAGAC
rnacentral:rRNA from 1 species